GACGAACGCUGGCGGCGUGCUUAACACAUGCAAGUCGAACGGAAAGGCCCUGCUUUUGUGGGGUGCUCGAGUGGCGAACGGGUGAGUAACACGUGAGUAACCUGCCCUUGACUUUGGGAUAACUUCAGGAAACUGGGGCUAAUACCGGAUAGGAGCUCCUGCUGCAUGGUGGGGGUUGGAAAGUUUCGGCGGUUGGGGAUGGACUCGCGGCUUAUCAGCUUGUUGGUGGGGUAGUGGCUUACCAAGGCUUUGACGGGUAGCCGGCCUGAGAGGGUGACCGGCCACAUGGGGACGGAGAUACGGCCCAGACUCCUACGGGAGGAAGCAGUGGGGAAUAUUGCACAAUGGGCGGAAGCCGGAUGCAGCAACGCCGCGUGCGGGAUGACGGCCUUCGGGUGGUAAACCGCUUUCGCCUGUGACGAAGCGUGAGUGACGGUAAUGGGGAAAGAAGCACCGGCUAACUACGU
rnacentral:rRNA from 1 species